AGGAUCAUUUUUCAACAAUCAAUAAGGCAAAAGGAGAAAAAAACGAUUCCUUGUGGGUAAAAUUGUAAUUGACUUAAAGCGUGGGAUGAUGUAGUAAAUCGUGCUGUUCAAUUAGGGCAUGCUUCAAGUAGGCUCUGAACCCAACCAACCAAACCACAGGUUUGUUGUUUAGUGCAGUCAGUCCGAACUCGAAUUCUCGGCUCCACAUAGCAGCGUUCAGAAUCAAAACCUAUCCAUUUCCAAUCGCUUAUUCCUCUUUAUGCUCCGAUUCGUGCCCUAAACUAAACCUAAGUGCUGCUCUCGAAUUCGCCACCACAAUCUCCGCCACAAACUAUCUUCUCCGUUCGGAAUCUCUCGCCGUUUGAAGAUGUCGGGCGGUUUCUUUCGAGGUACAUCUGCGGAUCAAGACACCCGAUUUUCGAACAAGCAAGCGAAGCUGCUUAAAUCGCAGAAGUUUGCACCAGAAUUGGAGCAUUUGGUGGACAUGACGAAGGUGAAUAUGGAAGUAAUGAGGCCUUGGAUCACCAGAAAAGUGACCGAGCUUCUUGGGUUUGAAGAUGAAGUGCUUAUUAACUUCAUACACGGUCUUCUGGAUGCUAAGAAAGUGAACGGGAAGGAAGUUCAAAUACAAAUUACUGGAUUCAUGGAAAAGAACACUGGCAAGUUCAUGAAAGAGCUCUGGACACUUCUUCUCAGUGCACAGAAAAAUGCCAGUGGUGUUCCUCAGCAGUUCUUGGAUGCUAAAGAAGAAGAGCUCCUGAAAAAGAAGGCUGAAAAUGAUAGAAUAUCAACUGAAAUUCAGAGGAAGAAAGAUAAGGAAAGCAAAGAGAUCAUGGAGGAGAGGCUGAAGAAACUGGACGGAGGAUUAGAUGCAAAGGAAAAUGAUACUGCUUCAGAUCCAACUUUGAAGCUCAGGGACUCGGGGAACUAUGUUCAGGAUGGGAAAGAAACUGACAAGAGGAAUGGUGUUAGAGUAAGGAACAGGUCCUCACAUUCACCUGCAAUUUCCACCUCGCCUUAUCGAGGCUCACCUUCAAGGGCAAACAGUAAAUCAUUUUCAAAUUCCCGAAGUUAUUCAAGGAGUAUAUCCAGAUCACCGAAGGCUCGCGGACGUUCAGUUUCUUCUGAAAGGAUACAGCGUUCUUCACGACGCCAAUCUAUUUCUCCCCGAAGGCGUUCACCCCAACGAUCUCCCCACAGGAGGCUAUCUUAUUCAAGGAGAAGAUCUAGAUCUAGGUCAGACUCCAAAUCUCCUUCUCCUAUACGACGCGGAAUGCAUUCUCCAGUACGACGACGCAGAUCACCCUCUCCAGUACGAAGACGCAGAUCACCCUCUCCAGUACGAAGACGCAGAUCACCCUCUCCAGUACGAAGACGGAGAUCACCCUCUCCAGUACGAAGACGCAGAUCACCACCCUCUCCAGUACGACGACGCAGAUCACCUUACCCUGCGCGGCGGCGCAGAUCCCCCUCUCCUGUACGACGACGCAGAUCUCCCUCUCCUGUACGACAACGCAGAUCACCUUCUCCUAUGCGGCGGCGACGUAUAUCACCUUCUCCAAUGCACCUACGUAGAUCCCCAUUGCCUAUUAGACGAAGGUCACCCUUGCCUAUGCAACAGAGAUCUCCUAACAUGCGGCGUAGGUCACCUUCACCGAUGCGCCGAAUGCCACUAAGCCGUGGUCAAAGGUCAAGCUCUCCAAUGCAUUCCCCCGAAGUGCAAAGGCUUGAUAGUCGAAUUCCACGGAAUAGGUCUCCGUCUCCCUUGCGGUAUAGAUCACCUCUUUCUGGUAAGAAAAGAUCUUCAAGUGCCUCCCCUAAGAGGUCUCCUCAAGAUGACUGGAGUUCUCAGUCUCCUGUUCGUGAAUCUCCAUCUCCAGUCAAGAGAACUUUACCAAGACACCAAAGAAGUCCUGUGCAGUCUUCUAUGGGAAGAGUCAGGGUGCAAAAAAAAUUAUCACCGGAAGUUUAUAAACCCUCUAGCCCUUUGCAGUCUAUACAGACAGAUAAAAAUGGCAAAGCUUCGGGCUAUAGAUCACAAGAUUCAAUGUCCACACCAGAGAAGUCUCCAAUUCAAUCAAUAUCACCACAAGCAAUAAGUAAGACUAGCAGUAUAAAUAGAAGUCCACAUGAAAUCCGUCUGAGGCAAAGAGAGAAGUUGAUCAAUGAAGGAAGCUUGAGUCCCCCAAAGAAGCCAACAAACCAUAAACCUAGCCAUGACAUCCCAGAGACAAGUGAAGGAAUGGAAGAAGCAUAUUAUUCUAGAGAGCUUAGAGAUCCUAAAUCAAAUUCAUCUGAAAAGAAAUCAAGACACUCCCCGGUUAGCAAGAGAAUAGGUUCAUCUGCAAAAUUUAAUGACGAGGAUGAGUUUAAUCUUGAAAGGGCAGCUAGUCAUCUGGCCUCUGAGUAUAAUCAGUAUGAUAGCAAUGAAAGGAGUAAGCAAGGCCAGGAUAUUAAAUGUGGUAAAUCUUCUGGCAAGGGAGGUGAGUCUCCUGGUCAACAGAAGUCACCAAUGAGCAAAGAAAUUGUUUCUAGCAAGAAGCCUCAUGAUUCUUAUGAUGCAGAAAUAAAACAAACUGAUGACAAGGAUCAAUCCAACUCAAAAUUUGCCAAAAGUAGUGAUCAGCACCACAAACCAGAAACCACUCAAGAUUUAGUUGGAAAAGUUGACCACAUCAAUCAGAGUGCUUCUUAUGAUUCUGAAGAAAGUGGUAAGCAUAGAAGGGAUGGAAAGGAUAGAAGAAAGCAUAAAAGGUCAGAGAAAAAAGCCGUCUCUUCCAAUGAGAAUGACAGUUAUGAUUCUGAAUUAGAGGACAGGAAAGAGGCAAAGAGGAGGAAAAAGGAAGAGAAGAAGAAGCUGCGAAAAGAGGAGAAGCACCGAAAGCGGGAAGAGAGAAGACGGAAAAGGGAAGAGCGGCAUGCUGGAAAGCUGAAAGUGAAGAGUAAAACAGACACUAUUUCAGAAGAUGAGGAAGCUGAACGAAAGGAUGGUCAUCAAAGUGAUGAUGAAGAAGCACCAUAUGAUCCAAAGAAGCUUGAGAUCGAGUUACGAAAUAAGGCUCUUGAAACCCUCAAAGCAAAGAGGGGCAUGAACAAUUAAAUGCCACACUUCUGCAUUUUAAGUUGUUUUAUGCAUUCAAAACUUCUCGGAAAUAUAUGCUUAGCUUCUUUAAACAUAUGGUUUUACAAAUGUUAAGUUAUGUUGUUUUUUGGUAAAUGUUUGAUGUGGUCUAUCUUUAAUGCUGGCAGCCGAAUUGGAUAAAUGACGAUUUCUGAGCAUAUCUGUUGAGUGCAACUCUAUGCAGACAUUCUUCUAUAUUUACUGAUGAAUUUAUGUCAACUCUAGAUGACCUGGUGAGCAGAACUUGUGCAGACUUAUAUUUUGAACUUCAAAUCAGGUGAAGUUUUAUGACUUACGGAAUUCUCCAAGUUGGUCCACAUUUUGAAGUUGAUGCAGCUGUAUGUAUUGUACAGAUGUGUUGUCAUAUAUGUACUUUGGUUGUGUGCGAGAAUAAAUAAAUAUAUUAUAUUUAUCAUUCUAGUGUGGUUAUCUUAUAUAAUUGUUGCUUUGUAGAACAAAUAUUUAUUUAUGAUUUUCAAGCUUAUUUGCACUUUUUUCUUUA